rnacentral:rRNA from 1 species
AGCAGUGGGGAAUAUUGCACAAUGGGCGCAAGCCUGAUGCAGCGACGCCGCGUGAGGGAUGACGGCCUUCGGGUUGUAAACCUCUUUCAGUAGGGAAGAAGGCCUUCGGGUUGACGGUACCUGCAGAAGAAGCGCCGGCUAACUACGUGCCAGCAGCCGCGGUAAUACGUAGGGCGCAAGCGUUGUCCGGAAUUAUUGGGCGUAAAGAGCUCGUAGGCGGUUUGUCGCGUCUGCUGUGAAAACGCGAGGCUUAACCUCGCGCCUGCAGUGGGUACGGGCAGACUAGAGUGCGGUAGGGGAGACUGGAAUUCCUGGUGUAGCGGUGGAAUGCGCAGAUAUCAGGAGGAACACCGGUGGCGAAGGCGGGUCUCUGGGCCGUUACUGACGCUGAGGAGCGAAAGCAUGGGGAGCGAACAGGAUUAGAUACCCUGGUAGUCCAUGCCGUAAACGUUGGGCACUAGGUGUGGGACCCAUUCCACGGGUUCCGUGCCGCAGCUAACGCAUUAAGUGCCCCGCCUGGGGAGUACGGCCGCAAGGCUAAAACUCAAAGGAAUUGACGGGGGCCCGCACAAGCGGCGGAGCAUGCGGAUUAAUUCGAUGCAACGCGAAGAACCUUACCAAGGCUUGACAUACACCGGAAAC